rnacentral:rRNA from 1 species
CAGUAGCCGCGGUAAUACGUAGGGUGCAAGCGUUAAUCGGAAUUACUGGGCGUAAAGCGUGCGCAGGCGGUUAUAUAAGACAGAUGUGAAAUCCCCGGGCUCAACCUGGGAACUGCAUUUGUGACUGUAUAGCUAGAGUACGGCAGAGGGGGAUGGAAUUCCGCGUGUAGCAGUGAAAUGCGUAGAUAUGCGGAGGAACACCGAUGGCGAAGGCAAUCCCCUGGGCCUGUACUGACGCUCAUGCACGAAAGCGUGGGGAGCAAACAGGAUUAGAUACCCGCGUAGUCCCUGUCUCUUAUAC